AUGGAGGAAAAGAGGGAAGAAAUAAAAAGAAAAGGUAAAAAAAUAAACACACGAGUCAUUGACAGGUGGGACCCUUGUCCAACUCAUCAUAUUGUCCACCUAAGCAUGCCACGUCAGCAUGACAUGUGGGCCCAACUUGUCAGUUUCACUGUUUUCGCAAUGUUAUUAGACUAUCAAUGUUCCGCGUUACGCAUUAGGCGCAAUUUCGGUGGUUUUCUGUGCCCUGACUUAAAUCUGGUACCAAGUUGUUACCCUAGCCCCAAGUGUGGUGGUUUUGGGUAAAUAACUCAAUUUGAGGUGAUCGAAUAUGGAAACCAUCUGAUGCACCUGCAGUGUGGUUCUAGUCUUCUAGAGUAUAUUAUCUUAACGUGAAUACACUGGAACCAACAUCCAUGGCAUCACCAUUAAGACAUGAACCCACACCUAUAGGAUUUACUUAAUCUAGAAUACACAUGAUAGUUUUUCUAUUUCAAUAUAACUAACCUUCCGGGCUAACACGACACAUGUUUUUAGAUGAGACUUCCUAGAGUGUAAUUGAAGUAUUAUUGAUCCCUUAAUAUGUUAAUGUUAAUCUUGUCAUGUGUUAGUUUGAGUACACAGUGAAGUGCCCAUGUGUUGGUGCAUAGUGUGUGUGAGAGUGACGGAAAACUGUAUUGCAGUAGACCGUCAUGGCAAUGGGCAACGACGUGCACUGCGUGUGCACAGUGUAAGUUGUCGGGUGGGUGGUUGUAACCGGCCAUCAAAGGGUCAAGGCCUGUAUGUGUUGCAGGCUGUGAAGCCAAAAAGAAAAAUCGAAGGGCAUGUGUUGCCUGGGAGAAAACCAACCUGUGUCUACUCUGUUCUUCAUACCCUCAAACACCUCGCGUGCGUGACGAGAGAAAGGAGGGCAGGAGAGACUAGAGUGGGUUUUGGCUAACAUUUGGCACCAGAGCCAACGAGGUUUGAUCGGCGGAAAUAGCUAUGGCGUCGGAGGAAGCGUUGAAAGCGGCGGAGGACGCGAUGGCCGCUGCGGCGGAGGCCAGAGCGGAAGCAGAUGCGUUGAGGGAGGAGCUGGCGGCGCUGAAAGGCAAGAAGUCGGAAGGGGAGGUGAAGCAGGAGGCCUUGAUUCCAGCGGCGGCGGCGCUGCCGGUGAGGCCCCGCGGCCCCAUAAUCUACCCGCAGCUCACCCGCACAAAUUACACGUUGUGGGCGAUGCAGAUGCGGGUGGCGAUGCAGUCAGCACGAGUUUGGGAGGCGGUAAGCUCUGAAGAUGUCUCUUUCGAGAUGGACCGCGACGCGCUGCUAGCCAUCUACCAGGGCGUACCGGAGGACGUGCUGGCAUCACUCGCCGGCAAGGACACGGCAAAGUCAGCCUGGGAAGCCAUCAAGACUGUACGCGUCGGCCACGACCGCGUACGUGAGUCCAAUCUUCAGUCGCUAAGGAAGGCGUUUGAGGGAUUGGAGAUGGGCGACGACGAGCAGAUAGAAGCCUUCGCAACGUGUGUGAACAAGAUGGUUUCAUCCAUCCGCGCGCUCGGCGACGAGGUGAAGGAGCUCACGGUGGUCCAGAAAAUUCUUCAGGCGGCGCCGGCGCGGCUCACGCACCUUGUGACCGCGCUAGAGCAGUGCGUGGACUUGAAGACACUAACCAUGGAGGAUUUAAUUGGGCGCUUCAAGGCGUACGAGGAGCGCAUCCGGCAACGUUUCGGCGAUCCUGUUGAUGGUCAGCACCUAAUGCCGAGCAGGAAACAAUGGGAAGGCUACAUGGGGAAGAAGACCUGGGAUGGUCACGGAGCAAGUGGUGGUGUGAAGGGAGGCGCUGACCGUGGCAGCAGCCAUGGAAGAGGCAAGAACCAGCCAUCAAGCUCGAGAACUGAAUCAAAUCCGAAGAAAAAAUUCAAGUGCUACAACUGUGGUGUAAAGGGACAUUUUUCAAGAGAAUGUAAAGAACCCAAGAAGAAGAAGCAGGAGAAAUCCUUGAUGGCUAAGAAGCAGGAUGAAGAACCCGCACUGUUGUUGUCUGAAAGUUGUGUCAUGGCAUGCAAUGCAACAGUGGAACAUGGCAGAGUUUUCCUCAAUGAAGAGAAAGUGAAGCCAAGGCUUGGAACUGAUGUGAGGUAUGACACUAAGAUUUGGUACCUUGACACUGGAGCUAGUAAUCACAUGACAGGCUCUAGGGCGAUGUUCACUAGUCUUACAAAUCCAUAACAGGAACAGUCAAGUUUGGUGAUGGUUCCUUAGUUGAAAUUGAAGGCAGAGGCACCGUGCUCAUAACAGCUAGAGAUGGGGCUCAUAAAGGACUAACUGAUGUCUAUUACAUUCCAAAAUUGAGAAGUAAUAUCAUUAGUCUUGGUCAAUUGGAGGAGCACGGUUGCAAAAUUGUUUUGGAAGAUGGUCACCUGAGAAUCUUUGACAAAGGGCGUAAAUUGCUAGUAAAAGUACCAAGGGGCAAGAAUAGGCUAUAUGUUCUGAAUAUUAACCUGGGAAUGCCUGUGUGUCUACUUUCCUCAAUCAGUGAUGUUGCUUGGCUGUGGCAUGCUCGUUAUGGGCAUCUGAACUUUGAUGCUUUGAGGUCCCUUGCACAACACAACAUGGUGGAUGGUCUCCCUCUUGUGAAACAAGUUGACAAGGUGUGUGAUGGGUGUUUGGUUGGAAAACAGCGGCGUGCUCCAUUUCCUAAACAAUCAGUCUAUCGUGCAGGAAAUGGUUUAGAGCUUGUGCAUGCUGACCUGUGUGGUCCAAUCUCACCACCCACACCAGCAGGAAAUAGAUACUUCCUGUUAAUUGUCGAUGACAAGAGUCGCUUCAUGUGGGGUGCACUGCUGAGAACCAAGGACCAAGCCUUUGUGGCGUUCAGAAAGUUCAAGGUUGCAGCUGAAUUGGAAAGUGGUCUGAAUCUGAAAAUGUUGCGUACUGACAGAGGUGGCGAGUUCACCUCUGUUGAAUUUAAUUCUUUCUGCGAGGAUCAUGGGAUAAGAAGGCAGCUCACUGCACCGUAUACUCCACAGCAAAAUGGUGUAGUAGAAAGAAGAAAUCAAACCGUGGUUGCAAUGGCCAGAUGCUUACUAAAGAGUCAAAACUUACCUGGCAGUUUUUGGGGGGAGGCAGUGGCAACGUCGAUUUAUUUGUUGAAUCGAGCUCCUACCAAAAGUGUCGCAGGGAUGACACCUUAUGAAUCAUGGCAUGGCCACAAGCCAAGUGUGAAACAUCUCCGCACUUUCGGUUGUUUGGCUCAUGUGAAAGUUACAGGACCCUCAGGUGGCAAGCUGGCUGACAGAAGCAAACCUAUGGUUAUGAUUGGGUAUGAAAAGGGCUCCAAGGCAUAUAGAUUACAUAACCCAGAUUCAGGGAAAGUUUGCGUGUCUCGGGGUGUAGUGUUUGAAGAAGCAAAGGGGUGGAAUUGGGAAGGUGUAGAAGGGCAUGUAGACAACACCGACGAAAAUUGGUUCACGGUUCAUACUGAACCAGAACCAAUGAGUUACUCGGAUGAACCACAUAUGCAAGAAGCUGGGGCAGACUCACCGAAUAUUGAGCUUGAAGCACCAGGAGCACCUUUAGUGAAUCCAGACCUUGAAACACCUGAGACAGUAGUGAAAACUAGAAGCCUUGAUGAAUUAUAUGAUGCUACUUCACCAAGAUGGAGUCCAGCGGACUUUGAUCAUAUGGAGGAUCUUGAGUUGUGCAUGCUUGGUGCUGAUGAACCUGGAAGUCACAUCGAAGCAUUGAAACAUGACUCAUGGAAGCAAGCCAUGGAAGAAGAAAUGAAGUCCAUCCAUGAGAAUGAAACAUGGCAACUGGACACUCUUCCUGCAGGUGCAAAAGCAAUUGGCUUGAAAUGGGUUUUCAAGUUAAAAAAGGAUGCAGCUGGAAAUGUUGUGAAGCACAAAGCUCGACUCGUUGCUAAAGGGUAUGUGCAGCGUCAAGGGUUAGACUUUGAUGAAGUUUUUGCUCCAGUUGCUAGGAUGGAUACAGUAAGACUGCUGAUUGCACUAGCAGCUCAUGAAAAUUGGGAAGUUCAUCAUAUUGAUGUAAAAUCUGCAUUCCUCAACGGUGUACUAGAGGAGGAAGUAUUUGUUGCACAGCCUCCGGGGUUUGAGGAAAGAAGCAGUGGGAACAAAGUUCUAAGGCUAAAGAAAGCACUGUAUGGGCUUCAUCAGGCUCCAAGAGCAUGGAAUGUGAAACUGGAUCAUACUCUCUUGUCACUUGGUUUUGAGAGAAGUCCUCUAGAACAUGCAGUUUACAAGCGCAAGACUGGAAGUACUCGUUUGCUUGUAGGUGUUUAUGUUGACGAUCUGAUCAUUACUGGGUCAAAUGAAGAUGAGCUACUGAAAUUCAAAUUGCAAAUGAAAGAUUUGUUCAGUAUGAGUGACCUUGGGUUAUUGACAUAUUACCUUGGCAUCGAAGUUGACCAGUCCAAAAAAGGGAUAACAUUGUGCCAAUCGGGUUAUGCCAUGAAAAUCCUUGAGAGAAUUGGAAUGUCUGAUUGCAACAUUGUUCAUAUCCCUAUGGAGCAAAGGAUGAAGCUGAGUAAGAAUUGUGAAGGCUCAUUUGUUGAUCCUACAACCUACAGAAGCUUGAUUGGGAGUCUCAGAUACUUGGUGAAUACAAGACCUGAUCUCUCCUUUCCUGUUGGCUUGGUGAGUCGCUUCAUGGAGAAGCCAAAUUCCCAACACUUAGCCGCAGUAAAGCAAAUCCUCAGAUAUGUUCGUGGUACUCUGAACUAUGGAUGUUCCUAUGGAAGGGGAGAAGCUGAGGAACCGAGCUUGUUUGGAUUCAGUGACAGUGACCAUGCUGGAGAUGUCGAUGAUAGAAAGAGCACAACCGGCAUGGUUUUUCUCCUUGAUAAAAAUCCAAUUGCUUGGACGUCUCAAAAGCAAAGAGUGGUGGCACAAUCUUCAUGUGAAGCUGAAUACAUUGCUGCUGCCAUUGUUGCGUCCCAUGGAGUAUGGUUGGAGCGCCUGCUAGCUGAGAUGGUCGAGAGAGAACCCGAGAAGGUGAUGUUGUUUGUCGACAACAAGGCAGCAAUAUCACUGAGUAACAAUCCUGUCCACCAUGAGCGAAGUAAACAUAUUGAUAUUCGCUACCAUUUCAUCCGUGAAUGUGUGGAGGAAGGGAAGGUGAAGGUAAAGCAUGUGGCAUCUAAUGACCAACUUGCAGACCUCCUGACGAAGCCUCUGGGUCGUGUGAAGUUUGAAGAACUUCGGCGCAGAGUUGGAGUGGUGAACGUCAAAGACAAUCGCCAAGAUUAAGGGGGAGAAUGUUAAUGUUAAUCUUGUCAUGUGUUAGUUUGAGUACACAGUGAAGUGCCCAUGUGUUGGUGCAUAGUGUGUGUGAGAGUGACGGAAAACUGUAUGUGUUGCAGUAGACCGUCAUGGCAAUGGGCAACGACGUGCACUGCAUGUGCACAAUGUAAGUUGUCGGGUGGGUGGUUGUAACCGGCCAUCAAAGGGUCAAGGCCUGUAUGUGUUGCAGGCUGUGAAGCCAAAAAAAAAAAAAAUCAAAGGGCAUGUGUUGCCUGGGAGAAAACCAACCUGUGUCUACUCUGUUCUUCAUACCCUCAAACACCUCGCGUGCGUGACGAGAGAAAGGAGGGCAGGAGAGAUUAGAGUGGGUUUUGGCUAACAUAAUAGUCAUGAUUAAUUUCGUGCAGUUGGUACUUACUGGAGGUGGUCUGAUUGCUUGAUGGAGCCGGCUGGUGUCCGUAGGAGGAAGACAAUGCCGAAGUGCCAUUGGUUGGAGGAAGUUGACUUUGAAGUGUCGUUCGCGGGAGGAAGAUGAUUUACAAGGUAUAUCAUAUAAUCUAGAGGAAAAUUAACCCUUGAGGCGUAAUUGCUCUGGGGAAAUCAAAUCUCUGUACAUUACUGUGAGAGUUUGGAGAGAUUGCAUCUCUGACUUUUUUUUUGUGCCAGUCUUUUUAUUGUGGGAUGGUCUGAUGGCUCAUGGAUGGUCAAACCUAUUGGGAUCAUGAGGUUUCUAUUGUGGGAUGGUCUAAUCGCUCAACCUGUUGGGGUCAUGAGAUCGUAAAUUGUGGGAUGGUCUAAUCGCUCAACCUAUUGGGGCCGUGAGAUUAUAAUUGUGGGAUGUUUUUUAACUGAUCGUGGGGUUUUUUUCUAGAUAGAUUGUGGGAUGUUUUUUACAUCAAUCGUGGGAUGGUUUUUUUACAUCAAUCGUAGGAUGGUUUGAUAGCUCAUGGGUUUCAGACUUGAUGGGAUUGUGAGAUUUAGAGGACCCAUCUGGUUUACGAAC
rnacentral:lncRNA from 1 species